GAUGAACGCUGGCGGCGUGCCUAAUACAUGCAAGUCGAGCGAACAGACGAGGAGCUUGCUCCUCUGACGUUAGCGGCGGACGGGUGAGUAAUACGUGGAUAACCUACCUAUAAGACUGGGAUAACUUCGGGAAACCGGAGCUAAUACCGGAUAAUAUAUUGAACCGCAUGGUUCAAUAGUGAAAGACGGGUUUGCUGUCACUUAUAGAUGGAUCCGCGCCGCAUUAGCUAGUUGGUAAGGUCACGGCUUACCAAGGCGACGAUGCGUAGCCGACCUGAGAGGGUGAUCAGCCACACUGGAACUGAGACACGGUCCAGACUCCUACGGGAGGCAGCAGUAGGGAAUCUUCCGCAAUGGGCGAAAGCCUGACGGAGCAACGCCGCGUGAGUGAUGAAGGUCUUCGGAUCGUAAAACUCUGUUAUUAGGGAAGAACAAAUGUGUAAGUAACUAUGCACGUCUUGACGGUACCUAAUCAGAAAGCCACGGCUAACUACGUG
rnacentral:rRNA from 1 species